rnacentral:rRNA from 1 species
GAACGAAGCAAUUUCUCACGAUCCCUUCGGGGUGACGAGUUAUUGACUGAGUGGCGGACGGGUGAGUAACGCGUGGGUAACCUACCUUGUACAGGGGGACAACAGUUGGAAACGACUGCUAAUACCGCAUAAGCGCACAGCAUCGCAUGAUGCAGUGUGAAAAGUUUUUUCGGUACAAGAUGGACCCGCGUCUGAUUAGCUAGUUGGUGAGGUAACGGCCCACCAAGGCGACGAUCAGUAGCCGACCUGAGAGGGUGACCGGCCACAUUGGGACUGAGACACGGCCCAAACUCCUACGGGAGGCAGCAGUGGGGAAUAUUGCACAAUGGGCGCAAGCCUGAUGCAGCGACGCCGCGUGAGCGAAGAAGUAUUUCGGUAUGUAAAGCUCUAUCAGCAGGGAAGAUAAUGACGGUACCUGACUAAGAAGCACCGGCUAAAUACGUGCCAGCAGCCGCGGUAAUACGUAUGGUGCAAGCGUUAUCCGGAUUUACUGGGUGUAAAGGGAGCGUAGGCGGUUUUACAAGUCUGAUGUGAAAGCCCGGGGCUCAACUCCGGUAUUGCAUUGGAAACUGUAGAACUAGAGUGUCGGAGGGGUAAGUGGAAUUCCUAGUGUAGCGGUGAAAUGCGUAGAUAUUAGGAGGAACACCAGUGGCGAAGGCGGCUUACUGGACGACAACUGACGCUGAGGCGCGAAAGCGUGGGGAGCAAACAGGAUUAGAUACCCUGGUAGUCCACGCC